AUUGAACGCUGGCGGCAGGCUUAACACAUGCAAGUCGAACGAUGACUCUCUAGCUUGCUAGAGAUGAUUAGUGGCGGACGGGUGAGUAACAUUUAGGAAUCUACCUAGUAGUGGGGGAUAGCUCGGGGAAACUCGAAUUAAUACCGCAUACGACCUACGGGUGAAGGGGGGCGCAAGCUCUUGCUAUUAGAUGAGCCUAAAUCAGAUUAGCUAGUUGGUGGGGUAAAGGCCUACCAAGGCGACGAUCUGUAACUGGUCUGAGAGGAUGAUCAGUCACACCGGAACUGAGACACGGUCCGGACUCCUACGGGAGGCAGCAGUGGGGAAUAUUGGACAAUGGGGGGCAACCCUGAUCCAGCCAUGCCGCGUGUGUGAAGAAGGCCUUUUGGUUGUAAAGCACUUUAAGCAGGGAGGAGAGGCUAAUGGUUAAUACCCAUUAGAUUAGACGUUACCUGCAGAAUAAGCAACCGGCUAACUCUGUGCCAGCAGCCGCGGUAAU
rnacentral:rRNA from 1 species